GCUGGCGUAGCUCAACUGGUAGAGCACCGCAUUCGUAAUGCGGAGGUUACGAGUUCAACUCUCGUCGCCAGCUCCA
rnacentral:tRNA from 1 species